UACGGGGGGGGCAAGCGUUGCUCGGGAUCACUGGGCGUAAAGGGUGCGUAGGCGGGUCUUUAAGUCAGAGGUGAAAUCCUGGAGCUCAACUCCAGAACUGCCUUUGAUACUGAAGAUCUUGAGUUCGGGAGAGGUGAGUGGAACUGCGAGUGUAGAGGUGAAAUUCGUAGAUAUUCGCAAGAACACCAGCGGCGAAGGCGGCUCACUGGCCCGAUACUGACGCUGAGGCACGAAGGCGUGGGGAGCAAACAGG
rnacentral:rRNA from 1 species